UUUUCUCAGGUCCUGUCAACUUCUGCUGCUCUGCACACAGACUCCUUCACCAGGAACAUUUAAUCAGGUUCUUUCAACUUCUGCUGCUCUGCACACAGACUCCAUCACCAGGAACAUUUAAUCAGGUCCUUUCAACUUCUGCUGCUCUGCACACAGACUCCUUCACCAGGAA